CACAUAACCACGGAAUUAAGGAGACGACAAAUCCCCUACCCCGCUACAGCAAGGAAGGCAGAACUUUUCAAACUGCUACGCACAUCAACCAAUAACAUGGAAGCCGGGGAAGGAUCUAGCCAGUCCAACCCAGGGGACAUACAGGCCAUGUUAUCCUCACUCAUGGCAUCCAUGGGCAAGGUCAACUCCAGGCUGGAGAAAC